AGUGAACGCUGGCGGUAGGCCUAACACAUGCAAGUCGAACGGCAGCGCAGUAAGAGCUUGCUCUUACGGGUGGCGAGUGGCGGACGGGUGAGGAAUACAUCGGAAUCUACUUUUUCGUGGGGGAUAACGUAGGGAAACUUACGCUAAUACCGCAUACGACCUACGGGUGAAAGCAGGGGAUCUUCGGACCUUGCGCGAUUGAAUGAGCCGAUGUCGGAUUAGCUAGUUGGCGGGGUAAAGGCCCACCAAGGCGACGAUCCGUAGCUGGUCUGAGAGGAUGAUCAGCCACACUGGAACUGAGACACGGUCCAGACUCCUACGGGAGGCAGCAGUGGGGAAUAUUGGACAAUGGGCGCAAGCCUGAUCCAGCCAUACCGCGUGGGUGAAGAAGGCCUUCGGGUUGUAAAGCCCUUUUGUUGGGAAAGAGAAGCAGCAGGUUAAUACCCCGCUGUUCUGACGGUACCCAAAGAAUAAGCACCGGCUAACUUCGUG
rnacentral:rRNA from 1 species